UACGUAGGGUGCAAACGUUGCUCGGAAUUAUUGGGCGUAAAGCGCACGUAGGCGGCCGAAUAAGUCGGGUGUGAAAGCCCUGGGCUCAACCCAGGAAGUGCACUCGAAACUGCUCGGCUUGAGUAUGGAAGAGGGUUGCGGAAUUCCCGGUGUAGAGGUGAAAUUCGUAGAUAUCGGGAGGAACACCAGUGGCGAAGGCGGCAACCUGGGCCAAUACUGACGCUGAGGUGCGAAAGCGUGGGGAGCAAACAGG
rnacentral:rRNA from 1 species